GAUGAACGCUAGCGGCAGGCCUAACACAUGCAAGUCGAGGGGCAGCACAAGGUAGCAAUACUGAGGUGGCGACCGGCGCACGGGUGAGUAACGCGUAUGCAACCUACCCUAUACUGGGGGGAUAGCUCAGAGAAAUCUGAAUUAAACCCGCAUAAAGCAGGGGUACCGCAUGGUACUAUUUGCUAAAACUCCGGUGGUAUAGGAUGGGCAUGCGUGUCAUUAGCUAGUUGGUGAGGUAACGGCUCACCAAGGCGACGAUGACUAGGGGGGUCUGAGAGGAUGAUCCCCCACACUGGUACUGAGACACGGACCAGACUCCUACGGGAGGCUG
rnacentral:rRNA from 1 species